rnacentral:rRNA from 1 species
GAUGAACGCUGGCGGCGUGCCUAAUACAUGCAAGUCGAACGGUACUCUUUCGGGAGUACAGUGGCGAACGGGUGAGUAAUACAUAAGGAACCUGCCCUCGGGACCGGGAUAGCUGAUGGAAACGUCAGGUAAUAGCGGAUGUGAGUCAUUAUGGCAUCAUGAUGACUUGAAAGGAUGCAGCAAUGCAUCGCGCGGGGAUGGCCUUAUGGCGCAUUAGCCAGUUGGCGGGGUAACGGCCCACCAAAGCGAUGAUGCGUAGCCGAUCUGAGAGGACGACCGGCCACAUUGGGACUGAGACACGGCCCAGACUCCUACGGGAGGCAGCAGUAGGGAAUUUUCGGCAAUGGGCGCAAGCCUGACCGAGCAACGCCGCGUGAGUGUUAAGGCCUUCGGUUGUAAAGCUCUGUUGCCGGGACGAACGGUACUAUAGGAAAUGAUAAGUAAGUGACGGUACCCGGCGAGAAGCACGGCUAACUACGUGCC